rnacentral:hammerhead_ribozyme from 1 species
GUACUUCUGACGAGUCCCAAAUAGGAUGAAACAGCUGUCCAAUAC